CAGGCAGUUAAUUAUCCCCAGAGAUCAGAAGGUUGGCUGAUUCAUAGAGAACCUUGCAGCCUUCCUCACGGUCGUGGUUUUCGGGUAGGAACGGGCUUCCAGAUUUCACCUCCUUUCCUGUUAUGAUCUGACUCUCAUUAUGAGUAAGGGCUUCGUUCCACUUCAUUCUUAUAUGACUGCAACAUUUUCACCACAGAUCUGCAGCAAUUCAGUGUAUGAUGUGGUGAUGGAACGUCGUAUCUUGCUCUCAUUCAUGACAUUUUAAAGCUUAUUUCUUCUCACCUGAUAAGUAAAUACAUGCUGAUGUGGGAAGCCUUGUUAAAGUCAGCAGUCCAGCUUCUGCUCUCCUCUGCAUGAGAGAAAACCUGCAGUGCUUCUGCUGCUUCUGAAUUCACAAGGUUUGCACAAGCAGAACUAAAUCCAUGUUGCUUCGGGUAAGAAUGACUCACGAGACCUUACUAACACCUCAAUAAACUCACAUCAAAUUCACCCACAAUUUUAAGCAGCAUUAACAGGUAUUUAUUAAGUAUCUUCAGUUGCCACUGGAUUCUUUGUAAAAGACAUUGUAGUAUCUAAUGACUGGAGCAGCCUCAGUUACACAGCUUGCUUAGGUCUUCUUCUCUUAUGUACAUAAAUUGUUGAUGCAAACACGCCAAAUUUUGUGAAAAAUAUUUGGUUUGUCCUUAGUACGUUGCUCAAAUUUCCUUAUUCUUCUGAGGGUGAAUAUAAAAUGACCCAUACACGUAACGACGUCCGUGCAGUUCACUGUGAUAUCACAGAUUUAUUUUGUUUUUAAUUGAAAUG